rnacentral:rRNA from 1 species
AGUGAACGCUGGCGGUAGGCCUAACACAUGCAAGUCGAACGGCAGCACAGUAAGAGCUUGCUCUUACGGGUGGCGAGUGGCGGACGGGUGAGGAAUACAUCGGAAUCUACUUUUUCGUGGGGGAUAACGUAGGGAAACUUACGCUAAUACCGCAUACGACCUACGGGUGAAAGCAGGGGAUCUUCGGACCUUGCGCGAUUGAAUGAGCCGAUGUCGGAUUAGCUAGUUGGCGGGGUAAAGGCCCACCAAGGCGACGAUCAGUAACUGGUCUGGGGGGAGGCUCAGCCACACUGGAACUGAGACACGGUCCAGACUCCUACGGGAGGCAGCAGUGGGGAAUAUUGGACAAUGGGCGCAAGCCUGAUCCAGCCAUACCGCGUGGGUGAAGAAGGCCUUCGGGUUGUAAAGCCCUUUUGUUGGGAAAGAAAUCCAGCCGGCUAAUACCUGGUUGGGAUGACGGUACCCAAAGAAUAAGCACCGGCUAACUUCGUGCCAGCCGCCGCAGUAAUAC